rnacentral:rRNA from 1 species
AUUGAACGCUGGCGGCAGGCCUAACACAUGCAAGUCGAACGAGCGGCGGACGGGUGAGUAAUGUCUGGGAAACUGCCCGAUAGAGGGGGAUAACUACUGGAAACGGUAGCUAAUACCGCAUACCAUCGGAUGUGCCCAUAUGGGAUUAGCUAGUUGGUGGGGUAACGGCUCACCAAGGCGACGAUCCCUAGCUGGUCUGAGAGGAUGACCAGCCACACUGGAACUGAGACACGGUCCAGACUCCUACGGGAGGCAGCAGUGGGGAAUAUUGCACAAUGGGCGCAAGCCUGAUGCAGCCAUGCCGCGUGUAUGAAGAAGGCCUUAGGGUUGUAAAGUACUUUCAGCGGGGAGGCGUUACCCGCAGAAGAAGCACCGGCUAACUCCGUGCCAGCAGCCGCGGUAAUAC